GCCGGCGUAGCUCAAUUGGCUAGAGCAACCGGUUUGUACCCGGAAGAUAGGGGUUCGAGUCCUCUCGUCGGCUCCA
rnacentral:tRNA from 1 species